AGAGUUUGAUCCUGGCUCAGGAUUAACGCUGGCGGCGUGCCUAAUACAUGCAAGUCGAACGGAGAGCUUCUAGUAAUUUAUUACCAGAAGUUUCUUAGUGGCGAACGGGUGAGUAACGCGUUGGUGAUCUGCCCCGAAGAGUGGGAUAACUCCGGGAAACCGGAGCUAAUACCACAUGUGGUCACGGUCUUUAGAAAGUCGUGACUAAAGGACUUCGGUCCGCUUUGGGAGGAACCUGCGUCCCAUCAGCUAGUUGGUAGGGUAAUGGCCUACCAAGGCAAAGACGGGUAGGGGACCUGAGAGGGUGACCCCCCACAAUGGUACUGAAACACGGACCAUACACCUACGGGUGGCAGCAGUAGGGAAUUUUGCACAAUGGACGAAAGUCUGAUGCAGCAACGCCGCGUGUGCGAUGAAGGCCUUCGGGUUGUAAAGCACUUUUCUGAGGGAAGAGGAAGGACGGUACCUCAGGAAUAAGUCUCGGCUAACUACGUGCCAGCAGCCGCGGUAACACGUAGGAGGCAAGCGUUAUCCGGAUUUACUGGGCGUAAAGCGCGUGCAGGCGGUUUGGUAAGUUGGAUGUUAAAGCUCCCGGCUCAACUGGGAGAAGCCGUUCAAUACUGCCAGACUUGAGGACGGUAGAGGGAGGUGGAAUUCCCGGUGUAGUGGUGAAAUGCGUAGAUAUCGGGAGGAACACCAGUGGCGAAAGCGGCCUCCUGGGCCGGUCCUGACGCUAAGACGCGAAAGCGUGGGGAGCAAACAGGAUUAGAGACCCUGGUAGUCCACGCCGUAAACGAUGGAUGCUUGGUGUGGGGUUCAUUUACGAGCUCCGUGCCGUAGCUAACGCGAUAAGCAUCCCGCCUGGGGAGUACGGCCGCAAGGUUAAAACUCAAAGGAAUUGACGG
rnacentral:rRNA from 1 species